AUGACACACUUAUACUCUAACUUUUUUUUUUUUUUCCCGAGACAGAGCCUUGCUUUGUUGCCCAGGCUGGAGUGCAGUGGCACAAUCUCAGCUCACUGCAGCCUCCACUUCCUGGAUUCAAGCAAUUCUCCUGCCUCAGCCCCAAGUAGCUGGGAUUACAGCAAAGAGAAUGUUUCCAGCUGCAAGAGAGAGCUAUCAGAGAGUCUGGCCUGCUGAUUACACUGUUUAAAAUCCCAGAUGAGCAAUUCUUCUGGUCUUCAAUAUGGCUAAACAAGACAUUUGACUUUUUUGAGUAGGUACAUCCAAACAUUAUUGGUUGAUCGAAAACUAAUCAAUGUUAACUGAACUCACAAAUGGCUGAAUUAUACCCAGAUUAAUCACGUAUUAAAAUAAGGGAUGUGCUUUUCUGGUGAACAAACAGUUCUGCCCAUCUUCAAAAGUUUUUUUUAUUGCUUUAUUUAUUUAUUAGCUUUGUAUGCUUUGUUCAAGCAACUGUGUGUUUUGUUUUGUUUUUAUGGACAACCAACAUAUAACAGAAAAUGAAGCUGCUAUGAUUGAAGAUAAACAACAGACCUGCCCAGCCUCAAGCUCCCCUUCCUUUCCUUUCCUUGAGAUGUUCCCUAAGAGGGCUCUUUAGAAUCCCCAAGACUUCAAAGAAUACAGUUUAACACCAACUUAUCUGAUGGUACCAAAUGGAUAAGCAGGUUGUUUGGUGAGCCUAGACCUGAAGCAAACAAAAUUAGAGGAAUACUACAUCCAAAUUCUGGGAAAUGUCUGAUGAGUUUUUUCUAGUUCCACAAUAGUAUACGCCUAUCUGAGAGAUAGGAAUCUGCAUUCCUGAUAGAAAGAAUCACUCUGCCUUCAACAGUGCUAAACAAUAGUGGGCCAGUAAACCAGCUUGCUGAAAACAAACAAAAUAACCCAAAAAGCCCUGGCUACAGCAAUUUGGCAUUUUCUGUGGUGUAAAACACUCUCACAGUGGUCUGUCAACAGAAUUUAACAACAGCUGGCAAAAAUUUCCUGAAUGUUUGUCAGUUCUUGUAAACCUGUACUAGCUGCCUUUAGCACACACUGGCAGAAAACCCCUAACUAAUUCUGGUUAUAUGUGUGUUCCACACAG
ensembl:lncRNA